CCGGCAGCCGCGGUGCAGCGGCCUCUCCCMCGAUACCUUCCCGGUCGCAUUUUCUUUGCCAGUGCCGUAAGAUCUGUGGCCGGACAUCACCAGUUUCCUAUUUUUACUCCCCACGCAUAAGCAAAGCUACAGCAAGGAGGCAGCUUCCAUUGCACCAUUUUCUUAGCARAAGAAGUUACGAUCUUCAGGCAAAAGCUUCUUUCAGGCUUGUCAGCCAUAGUCCAGAUAUCCUGGCUUGCAUCAGCUUGUUUCACAACAUCAACGUCUUUGGAGGCUGGAUUUCUAAAGGAUGCAACAAGUGCUUCUGCAAAGAAGCAAAUUUCAUCUAUCUAACUGCUGAAAGUCACCUUGAGAAUCACAGACUCCCAUUUGUACACUCAAACUGCGACAAUGCAAAUGUUUGCAUGAAUAAAUGUACACCAUGAAACAAUAAGUCAGCUUUACUGCCUCCUUUGGAGCUCAUUUUUAAAAAUUGCUUGUAAAUGACAAGAUCCACAUGAACAAAACAAUCCAUUGGACCUGUACUUCAAAAAGCAUAUAUUCCCAAGCUAAAUAGCUAUUUCAUUAGAUAUACACAGGUAGGCAGGUAUAUGCAUUAGGUUGUGGCCUAGUGAGGAUCUGCCCUGAAGGCAGAUCUCUGUGCCUGUGUGCAG
rnacentral:lncRNA from 1 species